CAGCAGUAACGUCAAGUCUUCCGUAGGUGAACCUGCGGAAGGAUCAUUACCGAGUUUUCGGAGCUCCGGCUCGGCUCGACUCUCCCACCCUUUGUGAACGUACCUCUGUUGCUUUGGCGGCUCCGGCCGCCAAAGGACCUUCAAACUCCAGUCAGUAAACGCAGACGUCUGAUAAACAAGUUAAUAAACUAAAACUUUCAACAACGGAUCUCUUGGUUCUGGCAUCGAUGAAGAACGCAGCGAAAUGCGAUAAGUAAUGUGAAUUGCAGAAUUCAGUGAAUCAUCGAAUCUUUGAACGCACAUUGCGCCCCUUGGUAUUCCGGGGGGCAUGCCUGUUCGAGCGUCAUUACAACCCUCAAGCUCUGCUUGGAAUUGGGCACCGUCCUCACUGCGGACGCGCCUCAAAGACCUCGGCGGUGGCUGUUCAGCCCUCAAGCGUAGUAGAAUACACCUCGCUUUGGAGCGGUUGGCGUCGCCCGCCGGACGAACCUUCUGAACUUUUCUCAAGGUUGACCUCGGAUCAGGUAGGGAUACCCGCUGAACUUAAGCAUAUCAAUAAGGCGGAGGAAUGGGGGGAUUGCA
rnacentral:rRNA from 1 species